UGCCAAUGAUGUGAACUAUAUUUGCUACUCUUGACCGUUGGUAUGAUGACUGUAUUUUACCACUAUUCACCGAACUGAGGCA